CAGCCAAAGAGUGAGAGCAGCCUAGAUGCCCAUCCACAGAUGACUGGCUACAGAAGUGAUGGGAUCUAUAGUCCAUGGAAUACUACUCUGCUAUCCAAAGAGAUGAUAAUGUGUCCUUUGGGACAAAGUGGAUGGGACUGGAGGUGAUGACGCUUAGUGAGGGCUCCUCAGCAAAGGACACAAGAGACCCAGGUGCAGACAGACGGACACAAAGAUGAGCCCCUGGGAGGGAACCGGCCAGUGGACACAGUGCCCACUCAGAGGAUGUCACAGCUGCUGCCAGGGCCACCGAGACCCAGCCCAGAGGUGGCCUCCCGCCCUGACUCCAGACACCCUGGGAUGAGGGCAGGAGGAGGCUCACAUGCUCAAGUGUCAACACUCACCAGGCUCUAGAACCCUGCCCAUCUGUCUGUAGGCUUACCAGUGGCUUUGCUGGCCCAGAGCAGAGCCAUCCAGGGAGUAGGGCCCCGGCCUGAUGUCCCCCUGCAUCUCCCCAGCAUCUGGAGCUGCUGCCAGUACAGGGCGAGAACUGUGGGUGACCAAAAGGGUGCUGUAAUGAAGAGGGUGAGGACCAGAAGAGCAGACUGUCUUCACCACAGAGAGAAGAGUGUAGGGGUGAAGUCCUGGAGAUGCCACACAGCCAGGACAAAGUGCUUGGUGACAGACGGGCCAGGAGUUGCUUUAGUUAGGAGCUACUUUAGAGCUUCAGAGCCAGAGGGACAACCCCAC